UGAGACUCUUUUGUAUACCUGUAGCAUAUAGUAAUAGUAAGCAGUAAUAGCAAUGGCCUCCUCCAUGAUCUCAUCGGCAACCAUUGCCACCGUGAACCGCUCCUCCCCGGCACAGGCCAACAUGGUGGCCCCCUUCACCGGCCUCAAAUCUGCCUCUGCUUUCCCAGUCACCAGGAAGGCCAACAACGACAUCACUUCUCUUGCAAGCAACGGUGGGAGAGUGCAAUGCAUG
rnacentral:lncRNA from 1 species